rnacentral:rRNA from 1 species
ACGAGGACCUACUGGAGGGCAAGACUAAUGCCAGCCGCUGCGGUAAUUUUAGCUCCAGUGGCGUAUACUAAAAUUGUUGCAGUUAAAAAGCUCGUAGUUGGAUGUCUGCUCUGGACGUAGGGGGCCGCUCGCGCGGUCCGCCAUGCGCACCCGGCAUUCUGCUCGCCACUCGGGGGUCGGUUUUCACCGGUCGGCCCUCGGUGGUCGGCGGUUAUCGCUUUGCAAAAAUUAGAGUGCUUCAAGCGGGCUCACCCAGGCUCGAAUAGUAAUGCACGGUACGAUGGAACAUGACUUCGGAUCUAGGUCCUCGGGGACAGACGGAGACCGAGGUGAUGAUUAAUAGGAGCAGACGGGGGCAUUCGUAUUCCGACGCUAGAGGUGAAAUUCUUGGACCGUCGGAAGACGACCCACUGCGAAAGCAUUUGCCAAGAAUGUUUCCCUUAACCAAGAACGAAAGUCAGAGGCUCAAAGAAGAUUAGAUACCUUUGUAGUUCUGACCCUAAACGAUGCCAGCCAGCGAUCCGGCUGCGUACGG